GACAAGAAUCUGCUGUUAGAUUGGCCUUUUUCCAGUCUUCAUCUCCAACUUUCUGAUACUCAACAAGCAAGAAGAGUGUAUACACCCUGGUGGCUCCGUUUGCAAUUCUUGAUGACCAAAGAAGAACUGAUAGCUGUUUCUUCAAUUUUAGCUUCUUCUGGUAAAGCUCUGUCAUCCCUGCUCCAAGUGACUGUUGGAGUUGGUUUUCCUGAGACAUACGCUAUGAUCCGAAUUACUCCUCCAGCAUGAACAACAAUUCUGUCCCUGACACUUGCAUCCAAAUUAAUAUCAGGAGCCACUGUGAGAGCUGGGAUUUUAAUUGUUGUGCCAGCCCGACAAGAGAGAAAAUCCUGUGCUCCAAUGUCAAGGAAGAUUUCUGGUUCCUCUGCAAAAAUAUUUUAAUAUGUAAUUUUUUAGAGCUGCUGAAAACAAAUCUCUGCUAGCACUGGGCUAGACCCCCCCAGCCUGGCAUGCACAAUGCAUGUUUAUGUGGGGAACAGGUUGAGCACACCAAAAGAGAAACUGGGAAGUGUAUAAAUGAAGUGAAUUCGUUGGUGUCAUUUCUUCAUAAAGUACAUAGUAUUGGCUCAGUAUGGCUGUAGGUGCUCAUCAGUUUUCUAAUUGUUCAUGCCCUGGUGAUGGUCAUUAUGCCACUUUCCAAAAUAUGUAUGAAUCUUUUGUUACAUUUUUACAUAAUUAUUUGCUGUUUUUUGACUUGGGCCUGACUGACAUCCUGUGUGAAGAUUCACAGCAGUAGGUGACAUUUAGAUAUAAAUAUCUAAAUUAAUUCCAAGAACUCUUACCUAGAAUAUCUUGGACAGGUAUUUCGGAUGUUGCAGGACUUGGUUCUGACUCGCCAGCAGCAUUUACAGCUUUCACCCUAAAUCGGUAUUUUCUGAGUUCUUUCAAAUUGGGAACAACACAUUCACAUGUAGGAAAGAGUUUGUCUCCUUCAUUCACCUUCUUCCAGUCAGUACUACCUUCUUCUUGCAUUUCAACAAUAUAUCCUUUUAUUGGACUGCCACCAUCCUUUUGUGGAGGCUUCCAUGCAAGAGCUACAGUUGAUUUAGUUUUGUCUUUGACUUCUGGGCAAGAUGGUGGAUCAGGCACAACUUGCAAAACAAAAGCAAGCAAAAAUUACCUGGGAGUUAGUGUCUUUUUCUGAAUAGCUUCUAAAAGAAUGCAAGUAUUUUCAGUUUUUUUUCUAUCAUACCUGCAUAUUAUAUAUGGAGUAUAUAAUGCUAAUCAUACAAACAUAGUCUAAAUAUAUUUAAGAACAUGCACAGUAAUUACAUAUACUACAUAUAUAAAGGAGUACUUAAGAUAUAAUGCAUAAAGAUUGAACUCUAUACUUUAAAAAUCAGAUUUUGAACUUAAAUAAUUUUAUUCAGUACUGUUUCCAUUGGUGUAAUCAGAGUUUACAUAAAAGAGGGUAAGAAAGUUUAAAUUAUGGCUAGUUAUCUUAAACACAGUGAAAAAUAGCAUAUCAGGAAACCACUUGGCAUCAACAACAUUUUUUAGCUUAAUGCAAACAUAAAGCAUUGGAUUAGUUGCACUAAAUUCAAUAUAAAUUGUGCUAGUGUGUUGUGGUUCUAGUGAAGCAUAGUGUAACAUAGUCCUUAAAAGUAGUCAUAGAAACUAUAUACUUACAUAUGGGAUCUGCUGCUAAAGCAGGAUCUGAUGGUUCACUGGGAGGGCCAAUUCCAGCAAUAUUUUCAGCCAUAACUCUAAACUGGUAUUCAACGCCUUCAGCCAAACGAAGUACAUUAAAUUCUAGACCUUUUACUGAUGGUUUUGUUACUGGAGCCCUAUUAACACGUGACCAGUAGACACCUCCCACCUCUCUCUUCUCCAGCCAGUAGCCAGUGAUUGGGGCUCCACCAUUGUGCAGAGGAGGCUCCCAAGUAACCAGCAUUGAUGAUCUAGUACGAUCUAAAACUUUUGGCUUUCCAGGAGGUCCAGGAAGGCCGUAGGGAUCCUUAAUAAUGACUUUUUCUGAGAGGCAUUCAUCACUUAUUCCAUAUUUGUUUACAGCCCGGACUCGAAAUUGGUAUUUUUCAUUUGUUGUAAGAUUCCAUACCUGAAAAAUAGGAUUUCAAUCACUAUUUGGCUGCUUUCAGAAUAAACUUAUUUGAAGUUAAUUAAGCUUUUUGGUU
rnacentral:lncRNA from 1 species